rnacentral:misc_RNA from 1 species
GAUGAAGAACGUAGCGAAAUGCGAUAAGUAAUGUGAAUUGCAGAAUUCAGUGAAUCAUCGAAUCUUUGAACGCACAUUGCGCCCGCCAGUAUUCUGGCGGGCAUGCCUGUUCGAGCGUCAUUUCAACCAUCAAGCCCCCGGCUUGUGCUGGGGACCUGCGGCUGCCGCAGGCCCUGAAAACCAGUGGCGGGCUCGCUAGUCACUCCGAGCGUAGUAAUACAUCUCGCUCAGGGCGUGCUGCGGGUUCCGGCCGUUAAAAAGCCUUAUUUACCCAAGGUUGACCUCGGAUCAGGUAGGAAGACCCGCUGAACUUAAGCAUAUCAAUAAGCGGAGGA